rnacentral:ncRNA from 12 species
AAUGGCAGAGGACGGAAGGGGCAGCCGUCACCGGAUUGCAUAGGCAUGAGUAGGAGAUGCGGGAACUGUCAACCCGCCUGCCAUU